UACGGAGGGUGCGAGCGUUGUCCGGAAUCAUUGGGCGUAAAGGGCGCGUAGGUGGCCCGGUCAGUUCGUGGUGAAAGCGCGGGGCUCAACCCUGCGUCGGCCAUGAAUACUGCCGCGGCUGGAGCACUGUAGAGGCAGGCGGAAUUCCUGGUGUAGCGGUGAAAUGCGCAGAUAUCAGGAGGAACACCGGUGGCGAAGGCGGGUCUCUGGGCCGAUAUUGACGCUGAGGAGCGAAAGCGUGGGGAGCGAACAGG
rnacentral:rRNA from 1 species